AUCUUUUUUCUCCUUAUGUAUGAAACAUAGGCGGACCAUAUACUCAAAAGGAAAAUGACAACAUUUUUGGCAUGGAUUGGUCACUAUGCAAAAUUUUACGGUUAGGUAUAGUGAAUGUGGUUAAAAUUGUAAAUUUGUAAGCUUUUGUACGGUUGAGAAGGCCCUCUCCAAAAUGGUCCAUCUAAGCCAUAGACAACUAUGGGCUGUCGGUUGUGUCUAUAGAGAAAAGAACAGAUGAUAAGCAUAUUGUUUGACUUCUUGUACCAAUUGCAGCAGUAAGGUCUAUGCUUCAAGAAAUAAAAGAUGCUUGAUGGAAUCUCUAUAUUGUUGAAAAGUGACUAUGUUUCUCCAAUCUUAGCAUUAGUUAUAUUUAAAAGUUUGCAAGUUAGUUGGAAGGCUGAAGUGUAUUCUUCUUGAAGAUGAAGGGCCAGAGACGUAUGGGACAUAUGGUUACAAUACAUCUGGAGGAGUGGUAACGGUAAUAUCCUGGUCUAUAGAUCUACUCACUAGUAUAUACGUAUGAUUUUUAUGUUUAGCAUCAUAGAUAGCUUUCAUCCAAGAAAAUCACUUAUCAUAUUCCAGAAAAUCUAGCACAAUGUAGAUCGUUCACUCUUUUGUUGUUCUUUCAUAAUCUGAUUUACUACCAUCAGAUUUGUGUAUUGUAUAUAAGCUUUUUCCUCAUUAUUAAUAUAGCUACUUAUUUACGUA